CGGGGAUGGAACCCCCUGCAUCAGAAGGCAAAGUCUCGCUCUCUCUCUUUUUUUUAAUUUUAUUAAUUUGGUUGUGCUGGGUCUUUGUGGCUGUGUGCAGGCUUUCUCUAGUUUUGGCGAACAGGGGCAGCUCUCUAGUUUCGGUGCUAUGGCUUCUCGUUGCGUGGCUUCUCUUGUUGCAGAGCACGGGCUCCAGGUGCAUAGACUUCAGCAGUGGCAGCAAACGCCGGCUCAGUCGUUGUGGCACACAGGCUUAGUCACUCCGUGGCAUGUGGGAUCUUCCCAGAUCAGGGAUUGAACCCGUGUCUCCUGCAUUGGCAGGCAGAUUCUUUACCACUGAACCACCAAGGAAGCCCUAAAAGGUGGAGUCUUAACCCCUGGACUGCCGUGGAAGUGCCAAGCACCGUGAUUUCUUUGCCUGGAAAUCUCGCCCUCAUCUUCUAAUAUUAACCUGGGAUAUCAUGCUUCAGUGGGGUAACCCUGCCCCUCCCUUCCAUCACCCCCCUACCACUUCCCACCAGGUCAGGUGCCCUUGUCCUGAGGCCUGCUUUGCCAUUGACCCCAUUAUAACACAAACCCCUUAAGAUUCGUGCCUUGAAGUACAGUUGCCUCUUGCUGGGGAGUUUGGCUCUCAAGCAGCCUCGAACACCAAGCUUGUGUGUGGUGGAGGAUUACCCAAGGAUGCUCCUCAGCUGUCCAGAAGCUGAUAAUGAGGUCCUGCGAGAUUAGAAAACUUUCUCAGUGUCAUGCGGCUUGGAUGUGGCAGCAGUCGGCACCAGAAGCAGAAUUCUGACUCCUGAGCCUUUCCUUCUAAAUAAUAAAGUGUUGUUUUAAAGUAAGGAAACCGUUAUUAAUGUCUUCAACGGAGAUCCUGUGAAUCACUAAAAUCGGAAAUUAUUAUGAAACGUUCAUUUUCUCAUAUUAAAUAGAGUUUGAGUGAUUUUCAAAUUUGCAUCCUUUCUAGGAAGCCUGAAUAAUUAAAUUCCAGUUCUAAUUCUGACAUUUCCUUUUUGAAAUCAUUGGAAUCAUUGGUUCAAAGCGAACAUUUUGGGAAUGCCUGCUCCAUGCCAGGCCCUGUGCUGAGUGUUUUUCAUCUGUUAUUUCAUUUAAUUCUCAUAAUACCAUUAUCUUUUGAGAGCUGAGGAAACAGAGCUGCACUGAGAUUUAGCUCAUAGUGCCCAUCCCAGCAGCUUGGGUUCCAUGGCUGGAGCCCUCCUGGCAAACUCACCUGCGUUCUAGGAGUACAGAGUCGGAAGUCCUUUCCCAGUGCAUCGGGAGGAAUUCCUGAGAAAAAGUACAGUCAUGUGGGCUAUCUGAUUCCUGCUCAUUUAGUUGGAAAAAGCCUAUACAUCUUACUUGGGGCCCAGGAAGGAAGGGGCUGAUGCUGGCAUCAGCUCAGGGGGGUUGAGUUUCCCCUCUGCUCUGGGCAGCUGCUCAGAUGGUCCACAUGGAGCUGAGGUGGUGGCCUUCUUUGCCCCUCCCUACAUCACUGGCUAGCUGCAGAUCCGGCUGUGUAUUUAUUGAUUUCUUAGAUAUUUAUUUGUUUCCUUGGCUGUGCUAGGUGGGUCUGAGUUGCAGCAUGCCAACUCUUAGUUGAUGCCUGUGACCAGGGAUCGAACCUGGACCCCUGCGUUUGAAGUGCAGACACUUAGCCAUGGACCACUAGGGAGGUGCCCUGGCUGUGUCUUUUCUACCAUUGCCGUGCUCAGUCUGUGGGUGAGCUUCAGAAGCUCCUGUUAGGAGACACAGGACACUCAAGGGCAGAGUGCCCUUCUCCACGCGGCCCUGGCUCUGACACCUCUGGUAGUAGCCGGGAAGGUGCCUCUUCCUUUCAGCAGCCAUGGUCUGAACUCAUGUUACAGGAAAAGGGACCCCUUCUGUGCCCAGAACCAUGGUCUUCUAGUGACACUUAGCAUGAGACCUUGGAGGGAGGGCGAAUGUAUGAAGUCCUCCCAGCACCUCCUGCCUGGGGCCCUGCGUGAGUAUGAACUUGGACCUCGUGACUUGCCUCUUUAUGCUUUGCCCGUCCAGAGAGAGAUGUAAAACCCAGGCUGCUGGCAUCAGGGUUGUUUCUAUCAGAUGACCCUGUUUCUGUGCUUGCUGACUGCUAAGUCACCUCAGUGCGGGGACGCAUUCAGUGUCCUGAUCUUUAAGGCUUUCUUCUCAGGACCUCACGCUGACUCCAUCAAUCUGAGUGGUCUCGCGUAACUCCAGACAAGAGUUAGGGUGUGAUGUGAUGGCCGUUUGUUGAUUCUCUUUGAAAGUCCUGAAGAUGAGGGAUAAUAGGUGUUUAAUGAGCUCCUGCAGGGUGGCAGGUGCUGACAAGUACCUUACAGCCUCCAUUUCUAAUCCCACAAUUGAUAUAUUAUCAUUCAGAACCCGAAGCUUGGAGGUCAAAGGAUUCUGCUUACCGCAGACAAUGCAAUUGACGGGGAGAGGGAGCGGGAGUUAAUUUCCUGCAUGCAUCCAUGUGGUGGCCAAGACUCACUCUGCCGUGGAAUCUGUGCUGGCUUUUAUGGCCUUUUGUGAGAAAGCUCAGGGAGACCAAGGUGUGUGAACAGCAGGCGUGCAUCAUUGUCACUGCCAAGCAUCUAUUCCUUAGCCCUGGAUCAUGGAUGGGUGUAUUAGAAAUGCCUUCAGUUGCAGAGUUGAUACAGGACAUGUGAAUAGACUGAUGAUAUUUGGCUUUGUUCAUCAAUACUUCCCUUUUCUCGUGUAGAAUAUUGUCAUCUUUCCCCCUCUUCCUUCCCUGGACCUUUUCCCCAUGAGUGCAGGAUGUUGUUGUUCAGUCCCCUGGUCAUGUCCGACUGCUUGCCAGCAUGCCAGGUUUCCAUGUCCAUACCAUCUCCCAGAGUUGGCCCAAGUUUGUGCAGGAUGGCUCCAGCCCUUUCCUGACUGUGGUAGGGCUGUCCAGGCACCCCGGUCCACUCAAUUCCCCCAGCUGCAACCCUAGAGCUUUUUAAGAUCUCCUCAGCCCUCUGGCUGAGACACUGCAGUAGCCAAGCCUGUACCCCUCACCAGUACCCACCCCAUUGAGUGCCAUGGUACCGCCUGUGUGGACGGGGGGCCCCACAGCAGCUGGUACCAAACAAUGCCUGUUCUCAUCUGGGCAUCCCGGGCAGGCCUGGCAGCUUCAGCCGUUCAGAGCCCAGCUGGGUCUGGAGUUGCUGGGCUGCGCUGCAGAGGUGAUUUGCUGCUUGGUGUCAGUACAAACAAGACAGAUUUCAAUCCAAGGAACUCUGAAGGGCCUGCCGCUCUCUCCCUGUCUUCUGAUUGUCUUUACAAUGAAAGAUGUCUGAAGUAGCCCCACUGUUCAAUGAACCCAGGCUGGAUAUGACUGCUGAGGUUUAUAAGAUCACUCUGCUGUGCUGGCUGUGUGCUCUGGACAGGUUCCCUAACCUCUCUGAGUCUAUCCUCCUGUAUCUUCUUUAAAAAAUAUUUUAUUUAUUUUAAAAAUGUAUCUGGCCGUGCCGGGUCUUAGUUGCAGGUGGCACGUGGGAUCUUCAGUUACAGCAUGCAUGAUCUCUUAGUUGCGGCAGGAAAACUGUUAGUUGCAACAUGUGAACUCUUAAUCACGGCAUGUGGGAUCUAGUUCCCCGACCAGGGAUUGAACCCAGACCCUCUGCAUUGAGAGCAUGGAGUCCUAGCCGCUAGACCAGGGAAGUCCCUCCUUCUGUGUCUUGAUAUUGAAUUUAAUGAUACCUAUGCCACACAGCUCAUGCCAGGAUUUAAUGAUGGGAUCUUUGUGGAGAGCGCCUUGCCCAGGCCUUGGCACGCUGUGUGCCCUCCAUAGGUAAUGAACUCUCUUCCCCUUUCCUCGUAGGAUUCCAGCUGAGAGAAGACAAGGCCAUAUCAAGUUCUAGACACGCAGCUUUGCUGUCUUUACCACUGUCUGCAGGGAUCUGUGCUUGGUUGGUUUCGAAUACUUUUAAACAAAAGUAAAAGAGCUUUAAUUA